UCUUAGUUACGAACAUAAUGUAUUUCUAUAAGUGUUUCUUUUUCUUAUUUAUUAUUUUGAUGACUUUGUGCUUAAGUAACGCUUAUCCAGGGUUUAAGGGAUUAGGUCCUCAUCGCCAUAAUAAUUUUAGACGCAAUUGGGAUAGAAAAAUACGACGAGUAUGGGAAGAUAUAUUGGAAUGAGUUUAAAUUUACGACGACACUAAAUUAAAAGUAUUGGCACAUUGGAAUUUUUAAGUAUUUGGGAUUAUCACCAAAUUUACCAAAUUUCCUGAAGCUUCAUAUAGUGUAUCUCUUAAGUUACUUAUUUAAUUACAUCAAAAUUAGUUUCAAAUAAAUUAUAUUUG